rnacentral:rRNA from 1 species
AGAUUUAUUUAAUUUAAUUAAAAAUUUAUUUUUAUUAAAAUUUAAAUUAUUAUUUAAAAUAUUAAUAAUUUUAAAGAUAUAAUUUUAGUAAUUUAAAAGAAAAAAAAAUUUAUUUAUAGUUAAUUAGUAAUGUAAAUGAAAUUUUAAAAAUUAAUUAAAAAUUUAAAAAUAAAAAAGAAAAAUUAAUUUUUUAUAUCUUGGGUAUCAGAGUUUAAAAAUUUAUGUAUAUUAUAAAAAUAUUUUUCUCGAAAAAAAUUAAGAGAUAAAAAUUUUAAAUUUUAAAAAUGUGAAAAAAUUUUAAAAAAAAAAUUUUUUGUAAUGAAAAGUUAUUCGAUUUUUUUUAUAUCUAGUUUUAAAAGAAAAAAUUUUAAUUUUUAAGUUAAUUGAAAAUGUAAUAAAAAAAAAAUAUAUAUUUAAAUAUAAAUAAUUUUUGGGAUAAUCUUAUAAAUAAAAUUUUAUAUUAAAGUUUUAUUUAAGAUAAAAAUAUAAAAUUAAAAUUUUUUAUUUAAUUUAAUUUUUUAAUAAAUUAUUUAUAUAAAAUAUUAUUAUUUAAAAAUUUAAAAUUAAAAAUUUAUUUUAAAUUAUUUAUUAAUUUAAAUUAAUUAAUUUAAAUGUUAAAAUUAGUAUAUAUAAAUAAAUUUGAAGAUAUUAAUAUAAUUAAAUUUAAAAAUUAGGCAAAAAUAAUUAAAUUAAGAUAAAUCAAUUCACCUGUUUAACAAAAACAUGUCUUUUUGUAAUUAAAUAAUAAGUCUAAUCUGCCCACUGAUAUUUCAUUAAAGGGCUGCAGAAUUUUAACUGUACAAAGGUAGCAUAAUAAUUUGUUUUUUAAUUGAAAACUAGAAUGAAUGAUUGAUUGAAAUUGAAGCUAUUUAAAUUUAAUAAAAUAAAAAUUAUUUUUUUUGUAAAAAAACAAAAAUUUUUAUUUUAGACGAGAAGACCCUUUAGAUUUUAAUUUUAAUUAGUUAAAAAAUUUAAUGAUAAAUGAUUUAAAAAUUGAAAUUUGAUUUUUUGAGAUUAAAAUUUAAUUGGGGUGAUUGUUAAAUUAAAUAAACUUUAAUUUAAAAAUAAAAAUUUUAGUUUAAGAAAUAUAAUUUAUUAAAAUUAAUGAUUUAAUAUUUUGGAUUAAAAGAAUAAAUUACCUAAGGGAUAACAGCGUAAUUUUAAUUUUUAGAUCUUAUAAAAAUUAAAGGUUGCGACCUCGAUGUUGGAUUAAGAUGAAUUAAAAAUGCAGAUGUUUUAAAAUUUAGUCUGUUCGACUAUUAAAAUCUUACAUGAUCUGAGUUCAAACCGGUGUGAGCCAGGUUGGUUUCUAUCUAAAUUUAAUUUUAAAGAUUUAGUACGAAAGGAUUAAUCUUUAGAAAUAAUAAAUUUUAAAUAAAAUUAAAUUUGAAUAAAAUUAAUGAGGGGAUAAAUAAUUUUUUAUUUAAAAUGAA